CCUCCUCACAAGGGAAGCCUCGUUUAUUAAGCAACUUGAUCUCUCCCUGUGAGAUCAUAUGUGCAAAACAGGUUGAGCCAUGCCUGAGGGUGUUGCCCUGUGGAAUCUGUAGAUAAGGAUGCUUUAUACCUGGUGUGCCUGAGAGGCCAGUUACAUUCUGCGGCUUCCAGAGGGAACCAGCCUCCAGAGGAGUACAGUUAUUCCAUUUUUCUUGGGACCCAGGUAUCACUACUGAGACCACAAUGGCAUGGUGGAAGGCCUGGAGUGAAGCAGAGGGCAGGUCCGUGGCAGGUGCUUUAAAUUUUAAUGCUGCACCUGAUGCUCAGAUUCUGUAA